GAUGAAGAACGCAGCGAAAUGCGAUACGUAAUGUGAAUUGCAGAAUUCAGUGAAUCAUCGAAUCUUUGAACGCAUAUUGCGCUCUCUGGUAUUCCGGAGAGCAUGCUUGUUUGAGUAUCAGUAAACACCUCAACUUCCAUAUCUUUUUUUGAAAUGGGAGUUGGACUUGAGUGAUCCCAACGCUUUUCCUCACCGAAAAGUGGCGGGUUACUUGAAAUGCAGGUGCAGCUGGACUUUUCUCUGAGCUAUAAGCAUAUCUAUUUAGUCUGCCUAAAAAACAGAUUAUUACCUUUGCUGCGGCUAACAUAAAGGAGAUUAGUUCUUGUGCUGACUGAUGCAGGAUUCACAAAGACAGCUUCGGCCGACUUUGUAAACUCGAUCUCAAAUCAAGUAAGACUACCCGCUGAACUUAAGCAUAUCAAUAAGCGGAGGA
rnacentral:misc_RNA from 1 species